UAAAGAUGGAUUUGAGCACUCAACCUUCAAGAAAAUUCAUGUUGCAAGCCAAAAAUUAACAUAAGAGAUAACAUGGAUAACUGGGAGGCCAAAACAACAAUAUUUAUAUUUUAUAGCAACCACUGAAAAUUGCAGAAACAGGAUCAAAGAAUUAAAAGCAAAAUAGUGCAGUAUGGGAAGAUAGAAUUUAGGAGUUAUGUUCAUUGUAAAAUUAGGAAAUUAGAGUUUUUAUUGUUUAAGAAUGGAACAGCAGGCAACGCUGGACACGCCUCCACAUGCGAGCGCAUGGAUCGGAGGCAAAAACUUAAAACAGGCACAUGAGCCUCGCGCUGAAGCUCCAGUGACCGGCACAUAGAGUAAGGCUGGCCGGCGACCCGGGAGCCUUUGGGAUGGGCGGUGAGCAUAGGAAGUCACCCCUAAUAGUGACUUUAAGAUGGCAGUAGUUUCCAGAAAACACACGAAAAAAAA
rnacentral:misc_RNA from 1 species